rnacentral:rRNA from 1 species
CGUUGACCUCGGAUCAGGUAGGAAUACCCGCUGAACUUAAGCAUAUC